rnacentral:rRNA from 1 species
GACGAACGCUGGCGGCGUGCCUAAUACAUGCAAGUCGAGCGGUGAAGGCUUGUCCUUGUUCCAACUGUGUGAGCAGCGAACGUGUGAGUAACGCGUGGUGAAUCUCCCUUUGAGCGGGGGACAGGAUUUUGAAACGAAUGCUAAUACGGCAUAAACACUUUAGACAGAGGUUGUAAGUUUUAAAGAUGCAAUUUCAUCACUCAAAGAUGAUCCCGCGUUGUAUUAGCUAGUUGUUGAGGUAAAGGCUCACGAAGGCGAGGAUACAUAGACGACGUGAGAGGGUGGUCGGCGACAUUGGGGCUGGGACAGGGCCCAUACUCCUAAGGGAGGCAGCAGACGCGAAUCUGAGGCAAUGGUCGAAAGUCUGACCGAGCAAGGCCGCGUGAGUGAAGACGGUUUUCGGAUGGUAAAAAUCUGUUGGUAGAGAAGAACGUUGGUGAGCGUGGAAAGCUCAUCAAGUGACGGUAACUAGACAGGAAGGGACGGCUAACUACGUG